rnacentral:rRNA from 1 species
GUCCACGCCGUAAACGAUGAAUGCUGGUUGUUGGUCUUUAAAGAUAAGUGACGACGUAAACACGAUAAGCAUUCCGCCUGGGGAGUACGAUCGCAAGAUUGAAACUCAAAGGAAUUGACGGGGACCCGCACAAGCAGCGGAGCAUGUGGUUUAAUUCGAAGCAACGCGAAGAACCUUACCAGGUUUUGACAUAGGAGUGACCGGAUCAGAGAUGAUCCUUUUCUUCGGAACACUCCAUACAGGUGGUGCAUGGUUGUCGU